rnacentral:rRNA from 1 species
AGUGAACGCUGGCGGUAGGCCUAACACAUGCAAGUCGAACGGCAGCACAGUAAGAGCUUGCUCUUACGGGUGCCGAGUGGCGGAUGGGUGAGGGAUACAUCGGAAUCUACUUUUUCGAGGGGGAUAACGUAGGGAAAAUUACGCUAGUACCGCAUAGGACGUACGGGUGAAAGCAGCGGAUCUUCGGACCUUGCGCGAUUGAAUGAGCCGAGGUCGGAUUAGCUAGUUGGCGGGGUAAAGGCCCACCAAGGCGACGAUCCGUAGCUGGUCUGAGAGGAUGAUCAGUCACACUGGAACUGAGACACGGUCCAGACUCCUACGGGAGGCAGCAGUGGGGAAUAUUGGACAAUGGGCGCAAGCCUGAUCCAGCCAUGCCGCGUGUGUGAAGAAGGUCUUCGGAUUGUAAAGCCCUUUUAGUUGGGAGGAAGGGCAGUAAGUUAAUACCUCGCUGUUUUGACGGUACCAAAAGAAUAAGCACCGGCUAACUUCGUG